rnacentral:rRNA from 1 species
UACGUAGGGCGCAAGCGUUGUCCGGAAUUAUUGGGCGGAAAGAGCUCGUAGGCGGCUUGUCACGUCGGAUGUGAAAGCCCGAGGCUUAACCUCGGGUCUGCAUUCGAUACGGGCUAGCUAGAGUGUGGUAGGGGAGAUCGGAAUUCCUGGUGUAGCGGUGAAAUGCGCAGAUAUCAGGAGGAACACCGGUGGCGAAGGCGGCAUCCUGGACCAACACUGACGCUGAGGAGCGAAAGCCAGGGGAGCAAACGGG